GAUGAACGCUAGCGGCAGGCUUAAUACAUGCAAGUCGAGGGGUAGCAAGAUUGUAGCAAUACAAUUGUUGACGACCGGCAAACGGGUGCGGAACACGUACACAACCUUCCUACAAGUGGGGAAUAGCCCAGAGAAAUUUGGAUUAAUACCCCGUAACAUAGCGAUGUGGCAUCACAUUGCUAUUAUAGCUUCGGCGCCUGUUGAUGGGUGUGCGGCUGAUUAGAUAGUUGGCGGGGUAACGGCCCACCAAGUCUACGAUCAGUAGCUGAUGUGAGAGCAUGAUCAGCCACACGGGCACUGAGACACGGGCCCGACUCCUACGGGAGGCAGCAGUAAGGAAUAUUGGACAAUGGACGCAAGUCUGAUCCAGCCAUGCCGCGUGAAGGAUUAAGGUCCUCUGGAUUGUAAACUUCUUUUAUGAGGGACGAAAAAAGGUCUUUCUAGAUCGUCUGACGGUACCUUAUGAAUAAGCACCGGCUAACUCCGUGCCAGCCGCCGCGGUAAAAC
rnacentral:rRNA from 1 species